UGGGGAAUAUUGGACAAUGGGCGAAAGCCUGAUCCAGCCAUGCCGCGUGUGUGAAGAAGGUCUUCGGAUUGUAAAGCACUAUAAGUUGGGAGGAAGGGCAGUAAGCGAAUACCUUGCUGUUUUGACGUUACCGACAGAAUAAGCACCGGCUAACUCUGUGCCAGCAGCCGCGGUAAUACAGAGGGUGCAAGCGUUAAUCGGAAUUACUGGGCGUAAAGCGCGCGUAGGUGGUUCGUUAAGUUGAAUGUGAAAGCCCCGGGCUCAACCUGGGAACUGCAUCCAAAACUGGCGAGCUAGAGUAGGGCAGAGGGUGGUGGAAUUUCCUGUGUAGCGGUGAAAUGCGUAGAUAUAGGAAGGAACACCAGUGGCGAAGGCGACCACCUGGGCUCAUACUGACACUGAGGUGCGAAAGCGUGGGGAGCAAACAGG
rnacentral:rRNA from 1 species